rnacentral:lncRNA from 1 species
AAUGAAAGCCGACUUAGAGCUCAGUUCCAGAUUGACCUACAACUUGGUCAUAGACUGACCUCAAAAUAGAUGAUCCUGGGCAAAUUCAAUUGAUCUCGGAUUUGAUUUAAGUCCCACCUUAAUGUCUUAUCGACGACCAACCUACUUGACUAACAACACUCCUCAAUAAAAUUUCCUAAAAAUCUUGGGAUAGUUUCUUUUAGCUACAUGCAUGUGAGCUAGAUUAUCACAUAUAACACCCGAGAUCGUG